GGAAGUAAGAGUCGUAACAAGGUUUCCGUAGGUGAACCUGCGGAAGGAUCAUUAUUGUAUAACCGAGGUGCGAGGGCUGUCGCUGACCCGAAAGGUCGUGCACGCCCGAGUGCCCUCACACACAUCCAUCUCACCCCUAUGUGCACCACCGCGUGGGUCCCCCUUUGGCUUGUUCGGAGGGGGGCUUACGUUUUCACACAAACUUUGUAUGCAGUGUAGAAUGUAUUUUUUGUUUUUGCGAUCACGCAAUCAAUACAACUUUCAACGACGGAUCUCUUGGCUCUC
rnacentral:misc_RNA from 1 species